UACGGGGGGGGUAAGCGUUGUUCGGAAUUACUGGGCGUAAGGGCUCGUAGGCGGCCAACUAAGUCAGACGUGAAAUCCCUCAGCUUACUGGGAACUGCGUCUGAUACUGGAUGGCUUGGAUCCGGGAGAGGGAUGCGGAAUUCCAGGUGUAGCGGUGAAAUGCGUAGAUAUCUGGAGGAACACCGGUGGCGAAGGCGGCAUCCUGGACCAUUACUGACGCUGAGGCUCGAAAGCUAGGGGAGCAAACAGG
rnacentral:rRNA from 1 species